UACGUAGGGUGCAAGCGUUGUCCGGAAUUAUUGGGCGUAAAGAGCUCGUAGGCGGUCUGUCGCGUCUGCUGUGAAAACUCAGGGCUUAACCCUGAGCUUGCAGUGGGUACGGGCAGACUAGAGUGCGGUAGGGGAGACUGGAAUUCCUGGUGUAGCGGUGAAAUGCGUAGAUAUCCGGAGGAACACCGGUGGCGAAGGCGGCUUCCUGGACCGAUACUGACGCUGAGGCGCGAAAGCUAGGGGAGCAAACGGG
rnacentral:rRNA from 1 species